CCUACGGGAGGCAGCAGUGGGGAAUAUUGCGCAAUGGGCGAAAGCCUGACGCAGCGACGCCGCGUGAGGGAUGAAGGUCUUCGGAUCGUAAACCUCUGUCAGCAGGGAAGAACGGUCACUGUGCUAAUCAGCAGUGAAUUGCCGGUACCUGCAAAGGAAGCACCGGCUAAAUCCGUGCCAGCAGCCGCGGGAAUACGGAGGGUGCGAGCGUUAAUCGGAAUUAGUGGGCGUAAAGCGCUCGUAGGCGGUAUGUCAAGUCACGUGUGAAAUCCCCGCGCACAACGUGGGAACUGCCUUUGAAACUGGCAAACUGGAGUGUGUGAGAGGAUAGUGGAAUUCCAGGUGUAGGAGUGAAAUCCGUAGAUAUCUGGAGGAAAAUCAGUGGCGAAGGCGACUAUCUGGCACAUAACUGACGCUGAGGAGCGAAAGCGUGGGUAGCAAACAGGAUUAGAUACCCGUGUAGUC
rnacentral:rRNA from 1 species